GCCUCAGCUGCUCCAGUCCAUCUACCAGGGAGGCUUUCAAUGGUGGACCCCCCACUACCCCAAACUUCACCCCCACCCCUACCCGGACCCCCAUCCUCUCUGUAGCCCUGUGUGAUGAUGAGAGCCGGUGAAAGUGAUUUGUGUUGAUUUAGUAACAGCUUGCACUGGCUCCCAAAACUGUUACCGCUGCUGUCUCAGCAGGAACAGAUCAUGGUAUGGCAGCCAUGACACCUCAGACCAGCGCCCAGGGACCAAUUCCAGCUCCCCUUUGCCAGGUGCUUUGGCACCAACAGAAGUUUAAACCCGAACAUACAUGUCUUUAAUGGUGGAAGGAAACCAGAGCACCCGGUGGAAAUCCAUGCAGCCUGGGACAGCCGGGGUUCAAACACAGGACGUGUGUGUGCCCAAAUGCACACAUAAACACACACACACACAAAAACCAACAGAAUACAUUGUUUUAUCAAAAGGUCAGCAUGUAUGUGUGUAGUCAGUAUAACUGAUAUUGUCUUCCUGUUGUAUUUUAACUUAUUUACUUUUGGAUAUUAUAGAUUUAUUUUGACACAGAGCUUGCUCUUAGUUGAGGUCAAAGUUAAUAACUAUGACAUCUGGUCACAUGAUAGGCUGACUUUAAAAGUUGUUCAUUCCAACUCUGAACUUUGGAAGACUGGUUUCCAGUACUGUGGACUGUGAUACUUACUGAUUUACUUACUGAUAUAUUUUUUCAAAAUACCUGAAAGAAUACCUUAUCUGAGAGUGUGACAACCUCUUUGUGUGUUUUGUUGUGAUCUUAUGUCAUUUGCUCUCAAGUAUUUCUUGCAAAAGAGAUCUUGACCUCAGUGACACUUCUGGAAAAAAUAAAGCUUAACUAACUAA